rnacentral:rRNA from 1 species
UACGUAGGGUGCGAGCGUUAAUCGGAAUUACUGGGCGUAAAGCGUGCGCAGGCGGUUCGCUGUGUCCGAUGUGAAAGCCCCGGGCUUAACCUGGGAAUGGCAUUGGAAACUGGCGGGCUUGAGUGCGGCAGAGGGGGGUGGAAUUCCGCGUGUAGCAGUGAAAUGCGUAGAUAUGCGGAGGAACACCGAUGGCGAAGGCAAUCCCCUGGGCCUGCACUGACGCUCAUGCACGAAAGCGUGGGGAGCAAACAGG